UUCAUUGUCCAAAUAAAGGGACUAAUGUAGAUGAAGAAUUUACAAAAUGGUUCCCUGGAGGAAGAAAGAAACUUUUAUGGCUAGAAAGCCGAGGGUCACACCAGGGGCAAUGAGCAUUGAAACAUAUUUUGAAAGAAUGCAUGCUGGGAACAAACUGGACUUGGAAACAGGAACAAACAUUGGUUGGCACCAGUUCUGAGAAGGUCUCUUUAAGAACUUGGACCUGCAUUGUGGAGACUCCGCGGAGCUCGGCUCACAGGAGCAACUUUGCUGGACAUCUCGAUGACCUCUACCACCCUACCACUCGGGCACAGAGGGAAAAAUGGCACAAAAUCCGAGUACUUCGAAUCUUCCUUGUCUUAACCUAGAAACUAUAUUGAGCAUAUAAGGACAACAGGGAAGACUGAUUUGAAAGGCAACAUGUGGUUUACUCAUGCCCGGUCAUUUGUUUAUGGCUUAGAUCAUUAUAUCUUCUAUUAGGAAAUUAUCCUUCCUUGGAAAUGCUGUUUGUUUUAAUGUCUGCCCCCUUCCUUCCUCUCCUUCUCUUUUACAUAUGUCCUUUGCCCAUCCUU